AGUUGAGCUUGCGCACGCUGUGCAGCUCCGAGGCCUUGGCCCGGGUCAGAACCAUCUUCCGCGUCAGCUUCAUGGCGGCCGCCCAGGCCCGACCGGCGGGCGCCCCCGGCCUCCUGAUCCCGGGCGGGUGACGACUGCGCGGCGCGUGUCUCCAGGGGCGGGGCCCGCGUCGUCAGGGGCGGAUCCUGAGCCGAUUGGCGGCUCGGUGAGGAGAGCGGGGCGACGCGAGCCCGCUGGGGCCGCUUGGGCGCCGCUGACACGUUGGCUCUGCUCCUGCUCAUGCGCGGCCUGGGGCGCCCUUCUCUGACGCGAUUCUAACGCGACCCCGGAAGCGCGCAGCGAGCAGAGGACCCUGCAUUCAGAUGCAGCAGAUGACACCACCCAAACGGAUAAUCUGGCUCAACCAUGUGUGUGAUCCCACCCAGGGACAGAAGUCAGCCAGAACUCAUUUUGACCCCCUAUGAUUUAAUCUUCGACCUGACCAAUCAGCACUCACCACUUUCUGAGCCCAUACCCGCCAAAUUAUCCUUAAAAACACGGAUCCCCGAAUGCUUGGGGAGACUGAUUUGAGUGAUAAUAAAACUCUGCUCUCCUGCACAGCCAGC
rnacentral:lncRNA from 1 species